CUGCAGUGUGUGACUGAGCAUAAAACCGGCUAUCUCUGCAACACACACGUACACGCACUUCAGGACGAGAACCACCACAGCCCCCCGCCGGGUUUGUCCGCUCCGAAAGGGCAAAACCUCAAACCCGCUCCGGAACGCGGCCAAACUCCGCAACCAGGCACCGAGUUUCGGAUUCACCUCCAGGCAGUUCUGCGCAGGAGGCGGCUGGCGUGCAGCCGGCAGAGGCUGUGCCCCGUGGGACCCCGCUUCUUCCCGGCCGCGCUCCAGCCACUGGCGGGCUCAGCGACCGCGGCGGCCCCGCAGCCCCGGGCACCCCCCGCGCCAGCCCCGCGGCACCGCGCCCUACCUCCGCCCGCCGCUCCGCUCCGCGCCGCUCCGCGCAGCUGCCUGGUUACCCAGCACAACACGCCGCGCCGCCCCGCCCCGCCGGCCCGCGGCGAGGAAGCAGGUUUUGCAGCAAGCAGUGGUUGCCACUUCCUUCCUGUCCUAAACUGCCACACUAUCUGUGUACAACCUGGAAGCAUUGCCACACACCUCCUGAGAGAUGAGUGCAGUUCUACGUCUGGUUUUCAUGUACUGUAUCAGAUAUAAAUGUAUAAACAUGUAAUCAAAGAACCAUACCAAGUGAACAAAGACUUGUAAGAUCAUCAAGUCCUACUCUUGACCCAGUCCAAGUUUACUACUUCACUGAUUCCCAAAGAAUCACAUCUACAUGUCUUUUAAAUACCUCCAAGGUCAGGGAAUCAAUGAUUUGUCUGGGCAGCCUAUUCCAGUGCACAACCCUUCCCACAAAGAAAUUUUCCUAAUAUCCAAUCUAAACCUCCCCUGAUGUAUCUUGAGGCUGUUUCUUCUUGUACUAUCACUUAUUAAUAAGGAGAAGAGACUGACACCCAUCUUGCUACAACCUCCUGGCUCAGAUUCAGUGGGUCUUGACCAGCAUCCCAGGUCCUUUUCUGCCAGUCCACUUUCCAGCUACUCUUCCCCAAGCCUGUAGCACUGCCUGGGGUUGUUGUGCCCCAGAGGCAGGACUUGGCACUUGGCCUUAUUGAUUUGCCUCAGCCCAUUGAUCCAGCCUGUCCAGAUCCCUCUGCAGAGCCCUCCAGCAGAUCCGCACUCCCUCCCAGCCUGGUGUCUCAGGUGCAAACUGACUGAGGUAGCGCUUGAUCCCCUCACCCAAAUCACUGAUAAAGAUAUUAAAUGAAGGAAAGGAGCUGACCCCAGUGCUGAGAGCUGGGGAACACCACCUGUGGAGCACCACAUUUAUCUCUGAGCCAAAGCUCUCUGCUCAGCCAGGGCGGUCCUUCCUGCUGGCUCAUCUUUCAGCACACUGGGACAGCCUGCUCCUGCACAUUUAGGAUUUCCUUCCUGAAGAAUGACUACCCUUCCUGGACUCCUUUGCCUUUCAGGACUGCCUCCCAAGGGACUGGCAACCCAUCUCCUAAACAGGCCAAAGUCUGCCCUUCAGAAGUCCAAAAUACCUGAAAUCUCUCCCUACUUCUCCAAGAAUCUAUACACUGCAAAACUGCAUGAUUUUUUUUUUUUUCUACAUAGUUUUGUAUGUUGUACUUAAGUGUUUAUAUUUUCUAUUUGAAUGUAACAAAACCUGGGUGAAGUAACUUUGAAAAUAAAAUGAAGACACAACUAGAA